rnacentral:rRNA from 1 species
AUGGGCGAAAGCCUGAUGGAGCAACGCCGCGUGAGUGAAGAAGGUCUUCGGAUCGUAAAGCUCUGUUGCACGGGACGAAAACUGGGUUUGAAAACAUUGAACCUGGGUGACGGUACCGAGCGAGGAAGCCACGGCUAACUACGUGCCAGCAGCCGCGGUAAUACGUAGGUGGCGAGCGUUGUCCGGAAUUAUUGGGCGUAAAGGGAGCGCAGGCGGACAUAUAAGUCCAUCUUAAAAGUGCGGGGCUCAACCCCGUGAGGGGAUGGAAACUGUAUGCCUUGAGUGCAGGAGAGGAAAGCGGAAUUCCCAGUGUAGCGGUGAAAUGCGUAGAUAUUGGGAGGAACACCAGUGGCGAAGGCGGCUUUCUGGACUGUAACUGACGCUGAGGCUCGAAAGCCAGGGGAGCGAACGGGAUUAGAUACCCCGGUAGUCCUGGCCGUAAACGAUGAAUGCUAGGUGUAGGAGGUAUCGACCCCUCCUGUGCCGGAGUUAACGCAAUAAGCAUUCCGCCUGGGGAGUACGGUCGCAAGACUGAAACUCAAAGGAAUUGACGGGGGCCCGCACAAGCGGUGGAGUAUGUGGUUUAAUUCGACGCAACGCGAAGAACCUUACCAGGGCUUGACAUUGAGUGAAAGAGCUAGAGAUAGCUUCC